AUUGAACGCUGGCGGCAGGCUUAACACAUGCAAGUCGAGCGGAGUGAUGGUGCUUGCACUAUCACUUAGCGGCGGACGGGUGGGUAAUGCUUAGGAAUCUGCCUAUUAGUGGGGGACAACAUCUCGAAAGGGAUGCUAAUACCGCAUACGUCCUACGGGAGAAAGCAGGGGAUCACUUGUGACCUUGCGCUAAUAGAUGAGCCUAAGUCGGAUUAGCUAGUUGGUGGGGUAAAGGCCUACCAAGGCGACGAUCUGUAGCGGGUCUGAGAGGAUGAUCCGCCACACUGGGACUGAGACACGGCCCAGACUCCUACGGGAGGCAGCAGUGGGGAAUAUUGGACAAUGGGGGGAACCCUGAUCCAGCCAUGCCGCGUGUGUGAAGAAGGCCUUAUGGUUGUAAAGCACUUUAAGCGAGGAGGAGGCUCUUUUGGUUAAUACCCAAGAUGAGUGGACGUUACUCGCGGAAUAAGCACCGGCUAACUCUGUGCCAGCCGCCGCAGUAA
rnacentral:rRNA from 1 species